rnacentral:sRNA from 1 species
CAUAAUCAAUCAAAGACAAAAAAGAAUUGUGUGAGUAAAUUGAAGGCAGUGAAGAAAUAUAUUCAAAAACUUGAAGAAAUAUAAAGGAUUUAUAUACAUAUUACAUAGAAAUCAAAUAUACAAAUGGUUAUAUGUUGAAAAUCACAUAAAGAAUCCAUAGAUAUAUGUCUCUUUUCUUAUAAUACACUAUAUAAUGUAGGAUCGAAUUGCAGUAGAGCUUAACUGCAAAGAAAACGAAAGGAUCUAAUUUGCUAAAACCAGAUAUAAACGAACAGAAAAGAAGAGACACUUACUGGAGUAUGAGUAAGAAAGUGAGAGAUAUGGAAACUGGGAGAGGUAAGGAGAUAUUGAGAAGUCUACCAUAUAGGCAUAUAUAUACCCAAUGUCAGAUGAAGAAGGUCUUAGAUACCCUAUCCUUUUUAUGCCACGUGUUUAAAAGUUUUGUAUCUUUUUGGUUUUGACAACUUUUGUAUCUUUCCUUUUUAAAAUGUUUUAGGUGA